CAAGAUGAAAUUGCAGUUGUAUACUAAAGAUUUCAGAAUGUCUGAUUUAUUCUGUGUACUUCGAAGGACUUAUAAUACAUAUAUAAGUGGGAGCAGAUGAAAAAGAAAUCAUAAUCCAAGAUGAACAUGGCAGAGAUGCAAACUGUCAACAAAAUAUGCAAAACAGAACGUAGUCUUGGAACAACUGGAUUUGUUCCCUCUUGGAUUCAGGCUACAUGUUAUCUUCAGAAUUUGAAUUGAUGGAGUCGACUACAGCGCCACAAUGGGAGUCACAACACGCACCACUUGCUUCAAGCUCGCCAGUAGCCAGGACCAUUAUGCAUCCAUUCCGAGUCUCAUCUCCAGGAGUGCAACAUUCAUGAACAAAAAAUGAAGAAAGAAAAUUUAAUAAUUUGUGUAUGACAUAGAUGGCAUGCAAGCCACACUUUCUCCAGGCUAAUCUUAGUCCUGGUAAGAUAAACAAUCUAUUAAACUUGUCCUAUCAACAUCUCAACAGUGGAGAAACGUCUACUAUUUCAAAAUGGAAAACUGUACAAUAAGGAAAUAUCCAUGAGUAGAUCUUGCGCUAGGAUAGUCAUUGUUUCACAAAGCUAAAAAGAAAAGAGAAAAAUCCACACAAAAAUUUAGGAAGACCAAAGCCACACAACAAGGCCUUCCUAAUGAGAUGAAUAUACCAUCAGGAAAAUAAAUCAUACCAACAAGGCCUCCUAUACAAAUCAGAAACUUCUAUAUGCUCCUCUUAUCUUCAUCUCGCCUUUUCCAAUGAUUGUUUACACCGUGUACAUGCCGAAGACUUCAUUUCUCCAAUACAGAAGACAUCAAGCUCAAAAAGACCAUAAACUGAUGGUCAUAUCAUCUCUUUGGGCAACAACCAGUCCUAGCACUGCAGCUAGAUAACACAAAAGUUGAGCUUGAAAUCAUAGUAAACCAUGCAGCUAACUGCUAUUUACUCACAUAUCACAUAAAAGAAAAAUAAGCUAACUACAUAUUCAUAUUCAGUUAUAAAGUAACAGGAAGCAAACUAAAAAAUUGCUGAAGAAACUAUCAGUUCUAGAAAAUAAUUUUGCUGCCCUCGAAAAAUAGAGAUUUGUCAAUAAUCGGAAACCGUCGUAAUAUGACUUCCUAUUGUGUCCUAAACUUUCAAAUUGCUUAGAAGCCAUAUACAGUAUGUUAUAAUUUCCAAUAGCAUGCCACGCCUCUCAUGUACACAGCCUUCUAUAGAUAAUGUAAAAUUGACCGUUCUGCAAGCAGAUGCAAUCACAACCGUAGAUGUAAACAAAUUUCUUAAUAUUCGGUAUGAAACUUUUUGAUCAAACAUAAAAACAAUCAAAAGGACAAAUAUGUAAGAAGCAAGAAACAUGACAACACUGGAGUAGCUGAUAAUCCUAUCAAUAACCCCUACACCAGCUGCAUUAAGAUAUACUCUGGAGUAUUGUGUUAUUUGUUGUUGCCUGCAAAUGUUGGACUUGGUGGAACAUACAUACUCCCUCCGUCCGAAAAUACUUGUCAUCAAAAUGGAGAAAAGGAGAUGUAUCUAGAACUAAAAUACAUCUAGAUACAUCCUCUUUUAUCCAUUUUGAUGACAAGUAUUUUCGGACGGAGGGAGUACCUCGCACCUUUUAUUUGCUUAAACCCAUUUUAUUCUCGUGUUCAACAAUUGCAGGCUUGCAGAAUAGCUGAAGCAUCAUAAUCUACAGAGCUAAAGUAUUGUGAAGAAACAAACAUCUGAAUAAAUGUGUUCAGGCAAAAUAUGUGUGGAUCCGGAAGGUAGCACGAUUCUCAAUUCAUUCUUCAGAACCUACAUUUGAAUUCAUUAAAGCUUAAUUUACCACGGUGUCAUGAUCUAAAACAUAAGAACACAUAGGUUUUUCAAUACAGUUUUGAGUGUCAUCCUAUGUAGGCUAACUUGUGCAAACUGGAAGAUACUUUAACAUAUUUCAGAGGCCUUAUUUGGUACAGAAGUAACAUUCAACAUGACAGUAAAUCUUGAGAUUAUUGGUAUUACCUGAGAGUAAGCUCAUGAAGCAGUAACUGUCAGUUUGUCACCUUAGCAAUUCAAUAAUAGUAACUAUCACUACUAUUAACAACAAAGAGUAUAUACUCAGCCUUUGAAGAAGCAUGGACCGACCUUCUCAACUAAUUCUUCUUGUAGGACGGUUGAAAUUCCUGGAGCUAGAAAAUUGCAGACGGCGUUUGAUGACAGCACUGUAUUUGGGCUGAAUAUAUGCUACUAUGGUCACCCUGGAGGACAUGUAAAAAUGAUAAAUAAAAAAAUUGACUAACCAUUAAUACAUUCAUUUGUCUCAAGUAUACACAUGUGAUUCAUUCAGCAUGUUAAUCUGAUGCAUCCAACAAUUAGAUAAUUGCAUGUGGACCCCUUUGUGUGUACAGUGUAUAUACCUUGAGCGUCACCGAGGAUUUGGAUGGCACUGCCAGUAGUCUAGCUCUGGUGAUCAGCACUGCCGAGCCUACCGUUGGCGGCACUGAUUACCCUUCUGGUUCAUGUCAUCUUCUGCAAAUCAAUUGGUUCUACCAUACGCACCGCAUGCACAUAUGGUAUACACAACAAUUUCAGAUUUAAGCCUGGAAACACACUCAUACAAUUCACUCCCCUAUACAGAACAACUUCGGAUUUAAGCUUGGGAGGCUGGGACCAAGUACGAACCACAAGGUAAUGAAUGUUCAACCAUACAAUUGAGAAUAAUAGUGUAAAAAAUAUAAUUUUAUUUUUUUAGGCGUAUGUCAAUGAGCUCUACAUCCAGAGAAGUAUCUCACUGGUUGUUUUGACCCUUUUAUAGGUCACUCUAUAUCAAAGCAAUAAGCAUAAGAUGGGGAUAUUCCUGAGCAAUUUCCCGUUGCCUAUGCCUAUGGUCCAAUUUCCUUUGCACUCUUUCUCAGACUGUUUUGAAGAAAAGAGCUGGAAAGCAACCACAGG
rnacentral:lncRNA from 1 species